rnacentral:rRNA from 1 species
UAGGGAAUCUUCCACAAUGGACGCAAGUCUGAUGGAGCAACGCCGCGUGAGUGAAGAAGGUUUUCGGAUCGUAAAGCUCUGUUGUUGGUGAAGAAGGAUAGAGGUAGUAACUGGCCUUUAUUUGACGGUAAUCAACCUGAAAGUCACGGCUAACUACGUGCCAGCAGCCGCGGUAAUACGUAGGUGGCAAGCGUUGUCCGGAUUUAUUGGGCGUAAAGCGAGCGCAGGCGGAAGAAUAAGUCUGAUGUGAAAGCCCUCGGCUUAACCGAGGAACUGCAUCGGAAACUGUUUUUCUUGAGUGCAGAAGAGGAGAGUGGAAUUCCAUGUGUAGCGGUGGAAUGCGUAGAUAUAUGGAAGAACACCAGUGGCGAAGGCGACUCUCUGGUCUGCAACUGACGCUGAGGCUCGAAAGCAUGGGUAGCGAACAGG